rnacentral:rRNA from 1 species
UACAGGGGGGGCAAGCGUUGUUCGGAAUUACUGGGCGUAAAGAGUUCGUAGGCGGUUUGUCGCGUCGUUUGUGAAAACCAGCAGCUCAACUGCUGGCUUGCAGGCGAUACGGGCAGACUUGAGUACUGCAGGGGAGACUGGAAUUCCUGGUGUAGCGGUGAAAUGCGCAGAUAUCAGGAGGAACACCGGUGGCGAAGGCGGGUCUCUGGGCAGUAACUGACGCUGAGGAACGAAAGCGUGGGUAGCGAACAGG